UCUGGGUCAGCCUGGGUCCCUGGUGUUGCCCUUUCCAGAGAAGCCUUGGCCAGUGCUCCACCAGAGCCUGGGGAGAGAACAUACCUGUGAGGAAGCCCUGGGGACUGUUUACACCUAUCCCUGGCAGAGAUUCUUCUGUGGACCAGGGCAGUCCAGGAGGUUGGGCCCUUACCCACUGACGGGGGCUAUGCCUGCGGCAGUCAAGUCCCCCGCAGGGUGGCACCCAGCAAGUUCUCUGCUGCAGAGAGCCCCCAGGCUGAGAAGACAACAGGCAGAGGCGAGAGCAAGAGCGGAACCUCCAGGGUGUCUUCUCUCAGUGGGUGAAGCGGCCAGCCCCUCACUCUCCACCAGUGUCCUGAGAGCCCUGUAAUGAUGGCCACAUGGUCAUUCUGCCAGCACGAACCUCUCCGUCCCUGACUGGAACCGUUCACCUGCCUCUGCCAGAGCCCCUCCAGCCCUCUGCCCCCAGGCCUGCCCUGCCUGUCCAGCCUCAUGAGCCAUCACUGUGGGCUUGCAAAAGUGGCAAGUUGUAAGUCGUCCCAAGCCUUACAUCUUCCCUGGCUCCCUAUUGACCCCAGAGAAAGUUCUAGCUCCUCAGCCAGCUGCCAAGGCCCCUGGCUUCCAUGCUCCAUGGGUCCCAGUCUCCCCGUGUGAGACAUGCGUGGCCCCUGGGAAGUCCGGGCUGUUCAGCAGUACCUCCUCAGCCCUGGGCUUGGAAAAUCCUUCCCAAAAGAUUUGACCAACUGCCCCCACCCCAUGAAGUGUGCUGCUGAUUCCCCUUCUCUGGCCUAGAGGAUGGACUGCUCCCUCCUGGCUGCCCUGAUUGCUGCUGUGACCCCAUGUGGCAUAUUGUCUGUUAUGUUCAAGGGCACUGAUUUGGAUCUUAGCCUGUCUUCUCUGCUAAAAUCAGAAAUCAACAUUGUUUGCUUCUCUCUGCAAUCCCG
rnacentral:lncRNA from 1 species